CGCCUUUUCUUCCUCUUUGUUCUUCUCUUCUACUUCUUCUUAAUUUCUUUUGAAAAUUCUCUGAAUUGUGAGAUUGAACCGUGGGUUCGAGAGAGAAAGAGAGGACCGUGAGUGAGGUCAAGCUCUACUCUGUUGAAGCUUCAAUUGAUUAUGUCGAAGGAGCUCUAGGUUGAAUUGGACUUGCGCCAUGUUAUGCAUUUACAAGUUGGAACGAAAUUAACUGAGUUUUGGGAAUGCUACUUCAAAAUGAGCUACUAUGUGGGACUGACUUGCAAAUUUUGCAGGUGGAUUAUGUUGUGGUUUUCUGUCAUGAAAAUGCACCUUUUCACUUUGUGCAGCUUGGACUGGUUUUGCCUUGGCUUGUGGUGGGCAUGAUGGUUGGUCAACGUUGGACGGUUUAUAACUGAGUUUGGAAAUUUGCAGGUGAAUGGAAGUGUUAAUCGUAGGCCACAUGGAAUUGAUUGUGAGCUGCUAUUGAAUGUUAAUCAUAAGCCAUGUGGAAUGUGCUAAUGGAGUGUGAGAUUGGAUUGUAUUAAUUGUGUUGUAAUGUUUGAAAUUAACUAGGGACUUAGUAUUUUCUAAAUUGUGUAUUAAUGGUUUGAAAGUGUUUGGUUUAAUGGUUUAUGUAUGAGAAUGGUUUUGGUUAUGGUGAAUGGAAUGAACAUAACAGAAGUAUUGAUUGGAAAUGAGCCUGUAAUGUAUUGGUUUGGAAAUAGACAUGGUUUGAAAGAGUUUGAAAAUGGUUAUGGAUUAUACGGAAUUGACUUUUGAACAUGAAUUACGGUUUGUAUUGAAAAAGAAUAUGGUUGGAAAAUGAUGUGAAAAUAAAUCAUGGAUCAUGUGAUUUUUGGAUCUUGGGGUUUUAGGUGGGUGACGGAUAGCAAAGAACAAGAAUAUUAGGGAUUUUGGGAUGAUAGUUGAUAAAAAAGUCAACAGUUGAUCAAAAGUCAACUUAUGCGAAAAGUGAUGUAAUCUUGUAAUCUCUUCCUCAAUGCAAUGUAUGAACUAUGUGACUAAUGGAAUGUACUUCUUUUGUUAAA